rnacentral:rRNA from 1 species
UACAGAGGUCCCAAGCGUUGUUCGGAUUCACUGGGCGUAAAGGGUGCGUAGGCGGUCGGGUAAGUCUGAUGUGAAAUCUCUGAGCUCAACUCAGAAACUGCAUUGGAUACUAUCAGACUAGAGUGUUGGAGGGGGGACUGGAAUUCUUGGUGUAGCAGUGAAAUGCGUAGAUAUCAAGAGGAACUCCAGUGGCGAAGGCGAGUCCCUGGACAACUACUGACGCUGAGGCACGAAAGCUAGGGGAGCAAACAGG